rnacentral:rRNA from 1 species
GACGAAGGAUGCAAGCGUUAUCCGGAUUCAUUGGGGUUUAAAGGGAGCGUAGGUGGCCUUAUAAGUCAGUGGUGAAAUCUCUCGGCUUAACCGAGAAAUUGCCAUUGAUACUGUAGGGCUUGAGUAUAGUUGCCGUUGGCGGAAUAUGACAUGUAGUGGUGAAAUACAUAGAGAUGUCAUAGAACACCGAUUGCGAAGGCAGCUAACGAAACUAUAACUGACACUGAGGCUCGAAAAGUGCGGGGAUCAAACAGG